rnacentral:rRNA from 1 species
AUUGAACGCUGACGGCAUGCUUUACACAUGCAAGUCGAACGGUAACAGGCCGCAAGGUGCUGACGAGUGGCGAACGGGUGAGUAAUGCAUCGGAACGUGCCCAGUCGUGGGGGAUAACGCAGCGAAAGCUGCGCUAAUACCGCAUACGAUCUAUGGAUGAAAGCGGGGGACCGUAAGGCCUCGCGCGAUUGGAGCGGCCGAUGUCAGAUUAGGUAGUUGGUGGGGUAAAGGCUCACCAAGCCAACGAUCUGUAGCUGGUCUGAGAGGACGACCAGCCACACUGGGACUGAGACACGGCCCAGUCUCCUACGGGAGGCAGCAGUGGGGAACUUUGGACAAUGGGCGCAAGCCUGAUCCAGCAAUGCCGCGUGCAGGAAGAAGGCCUUCGGGUUGUAAACUGCUUUUGUACGGAACGAAACGGUCCUGGUUAAUACCCGGGGCUAAUGACGGUACCGUAAGAAUAAGCACCGGCUAACUACGUGCCAGCAGCCGCCGUAAUAC